GACGAACGCUGGCGGCGUGCUUAACACAUGCAAGUCGAACGGAAAGGCCCUGCUUUUGUGGGGUGCUCGAGUGGCGAACGGGUGAGUAACACGUGAGUAACCUACCCUUGACUUUGGGAUAACUUCAGGAAACUGGGGCUAAUACCGGAUAGGAGCUCCUGCUGCAUGGUGGGGGUUGGAAAGUUUCGGCGGUUGGGGAUGGACUCGCGGCUUAUCAGCUUGUUGGUGGGGUAGUGGCUUACCAAGGCUUUGACGGGUAGCCGGCCUGAGAGGGUGACCGGCCACAUUGGGACUGAGAUACUGCCCAGACUCCUACGGGAGGCAGCAGUGGGGAAUAUUGCACAAUGGGCGGAAGCCUGAUGCAGCAACGCCGCGUGCGGGAUGACGGCCUUCGGGUUGUAAACCGCUUUCGCCUGUGACGAAGCGUGAGUGACGGUAAUGGGUAAAGAAGCACCGGCUAACUACGUG
rnacentral:rRNA from 1 species